UACGUAGGGAGCAAGCGUUGUCCGGAAUCAUUGGGCGUAAAGAGCGCGUAGGCGGCUUUAUAAGUCCGGUGUGAAAGUCAAAGGCUCAACCUUUGAAAGCCGAUGGAUACUGUGAAGCUAGAGUACGGAAGAGGCGAGUGGAAUUCCUGGUGUAGCGGUGAAAUGCGCAGAUAUCGGGAGGAACACCAGCGGCGAAGGCGGCACUCUGGGCUGGAACUGACGCUGAGGAGCGAAAGCGUGGGUAGCAAACAGG
rnacentral:rRNA from 1 species